GAUGCACUUGCAUGUUUCUCAGUGGUGAAAGUCACUAUAGACAUGUUAUGCAAAUUACAGAGACUUUCAGAGUGAAGAAAAGGAGCUCCUUGUAUCAUCUGAAGGAAAAGUACAGAUUCCUUUCAUUCUUUGAUGAAAUGCUUACAAAGAAUACUUGAGCUUUAGGAAGUAUCUGCCAGAGAUGUUCUCAGCUGCUUUUUGUCCCAUGUUUGAAGAUUGCUCAAUGGCAUGGAAGCCUCCUCAGACCAAUGGUGUGCAAGGGUCCAGAAAUACAAACCACCACCCUCAACAAAUGUGCUCAGUUUGGGAAGCAUUUCAAGAAAGAAGUCUCGGAGGAGGGAGAAACUAUUGGGAUACCAUAUAAUAAUCAUAAUGAAAGUUAUUGGCUAGAAUCCUGCUGAAGGCCAGCAGAGCAUAUGGCUCUACUCACGUAGUUCUACUCCGUCUCCUGGCAUGAUAUUGCACAGAGACCACUUGUCUAAAUGAACCUCCUUAUGUAAGCUCUUAAUAUGUUUACCCGUUUAUACCUUGGACUGUUUUGUGAGCAAUUUGGCUGAACAGGAUCCCAAUCAGUAUGUUUUCUUCCCCACAAGAGAAUUUCCUUGGAGAUGAAUCAGUUUUGUGAAGCAAGACGAUGUUUACCUUUGGAGAGUGAUCACAAAACAAAGCACACCGAACAGGAAGCAGGGUGGUGGGAUCUGCCUAGCGCUCUGAUGGAAGAGAUGAAGAAAAGGGAAGGUUCUGUUUUCAUGGAUGCCACUGACUGGUAGAGUUCCUUGUCCCUUAAAGGUGACAUAGCAGCAACGAGGAACUUUUGUCAUGAUGAAGCCUGAGUGAAUACGGACCGCACAGCUAUGAAACUGCAACGGCUCUAUGCUACAGGACCUCUGGCUGAAGCACUUACGAUCUUCUGCUAGAGAACUCCAGCACUAGUGGACUCCAGCAUUUGAAAAGUCAAUUGUUAUUUAUCCCUCUGCUACAGAAUAAAAAGGCCACUGCAUCUCACCCACCCCAGACUAAAUACGCCACCAACAUGACCAUCCAGCAUUCCAAACAAAAAAUGUUCCCAUUCUGUAACAAGGAGAAAUUCAGCCAGAAGAGAAAAAAAAAGAAUAAAUGCCUACUUUAUUCCAGUCAUUGAACCUGAGAUUUGCAAUCACCAAAUUCAAGUCCCACUACUGACAACAGGACACUUGUCCAUUCUUGAUUUACAGAGCUUUUUACAAAAGCAAGAUUUGACAAGCUCAUUUCUCAUUAUAGCUAAGCUACUGUUUAGGCAAUUCUCCACUCUAAACAUUCUCAUCCAGCAUGUGUUAUAGCUGUAAGAGUUCCCUGAUACAUUAAAGAGGCAUCCCAUGCCUCUUCCACGGGCUGAGCCUCCACAGUUCAAGAAAUAUGGAAAUAGGUCUCAUUAGCAGAGUUAUUUGCCUCUUGAAUCUUGAAAGAGCUUGCACACUAUCCUAUUGAGCUUCUGCUGAAGAGAAAGCCUGUCUAGCGCAGUAAAUGCAGGAUCAUGCUGUUUGUGCAAGGACUGUGCAAGCAGUGAUUUUCAUGAAGAAAACCCAGCAAUCACUUGUACAUGAGUGUUUGCAUAAGCAGUGUGAUCCUGCAUUGACUAUGGGUGACACAAAUCCACCUGACUAUCCUGAGGUGGGAGCUUUCCAUUCAGCAAAAGCCCAAUAGGAUAGUGGUGGCUGCACAUAUAUCCAGCAUUGAGGUGUUUCAUGUUUUGCCAAGUCACAUCCCACUUG